UUCAUAGCCAGGCAGUCAGAAGCGCAGGGGACAAGCUGGACUUGCAACUGGCAACUGGACUGGAGAAGUCUUGUGCGUUUGUGGUGUGUUUUCUCCCAAAGAACUGAAAUCAUGGAGCGUGAAACACUAAAGCCUGAGGGCUCGGAACCCUUCCCUGCUGCACGCACGUGGCGCUGGCCUACCUGGCAGAGGAACAGCAGACCAAAGCCUCUGAGCCUGGCACUCACCACUGCCUCUGUUCUCAGCGGGAGCCCCAGCACGGAGACCUGAUGAUGCUGGAUCGUCUGGGACCCUUUCCUGUCCUCCUGUUGCUGCUGGGAUCAUGGGCGGCAGUGCUUCCCCCUGGUGCUUGGACUCAACCCCCCACCAGGGUUCAAAAAUUUAUAAUUCAGCAUUUAAGUGCAGGUCCUGUCCAAUGCAACAUUGCAAUGCGUGCUGUUAAUAAUCUUAAUCAGACCUGUAAGGAUCAAAACACGUUUCUGCACGACAACUUCCCAAAUGUGACUGUUACCUGUGGUUGGCCCAAUAGGAAUUGCAGGAAUGGCCAGAAUAACUGCCACCAGAGUACAUAUGCUGUUGGCAAGACUCACUGCAGUCUCACUGGAGGGAGAUUCCCCAACUGCAGCUACAGGACUACUCCCCAGCACGGGUUGUACAUUGUUGCUUGUGACCCGCGUCAGCGAGGCUACCCUCCCAAUUGUCUGUUUCCUGUGCACUUAGACUAAGACUAAAGUUUCCAUUAUGUUCCUUCUCACUCAGUGCAGGUUCUCUCAUGAUCUCUUCUGCCUUUUCUUUUUCCUUUUGACUUCCAUGGUUCCCAUAGAAGAAAGAAGGAGGGGAGUGCGAGAAUUACAGGGCCAAGCUGCAAGAUCAGAGUUGGGGACAAAAACAAAUAGGAUUCUUUUCUGCUUUGGAGCUCUGUGUCUUUUAAAGAAGGCAAAGGGGAAAAGGGCAAAGAAAGACCCAGGCCCCCUAUUGUUAAUCUUGGAACUUCUGCCAAGCUUUGUUGCAUUGCGUUCACAGCAAUAAAACCACUUUCUGCUGCAUCGUAA